GAAUUCACUAGUGAUUCAGGCCUAACACAUGCAAGUCGAGCGGUAGAGAGAAGCUUGCUUCUCUUGAAAAAAGCGGACGGGUGAGUAAUGCCUAGGAAUCUGCCUGGUAGUGGGGGAUAACGUCCGGAAAGGGACGCUAAUACCGCAUACGUCCUACGGGGGAAAGCAGGGGACCUUCGGGCCUGGCGCUAUCAGAUGAGCCUAGGUGGGAUUAGCUAGUUGGUGGGGUAAUGGCUCACCAAGGCGACGAUCCGUAACUGGUCUGAGAGGAUGAUCAGUCACACUGUUUUGGGGACACGGUCCAGACUCCUACGGGAGGCAGCAGUGGGGAAUAUUGGACAAUG
rnacentral:rRNA from 1 species